rnacentral:sRNA from 1 species
UACAGUGGAUUUGGAUGGACAAUCAUGU